rnacentral:rRNA from 1 species
GACGAACGCUGGCGGCGUGCUUAACACAUGCAAGUCGAACGGUGAAGCGCCUUCCUUUUUGGUGGGUGUGGAUGAGUGGCGAACGGGUGAGUAACACGUGAGUAACCUGCCCCCUCCUUCUGGAUAACCGCAUGAAAGUGUGGCUAAUACGUGAUAUUCUGGGUCUGUCGCAUGAUGGGUCUGGGAAAGAUUUUGUUUCGGUGGGGGAUGGGCUCGCGGCCUAUCAGCUUGUUGGUGGGGUGAUGGCCUACCAAGGCGGUGACGGGUAGCCGGCCUGAGAGGGCGGACGGUCAGACAGGGACUGAGACACGAGACUGCUACGGAAGGGAGGCAGCGGGGGGGAAUAUUGCAGAAUGGGCGCCAGACUGAUGCAGCCACGGCGCGUGAGGGAUGGAGGCGUUCGGGUUGUGAACCUUAUUCGCCAGUGAAGCAGGCCUGCCUCGUUUGUGGGUGGGUUGACGGUAGCUGGAUAAGAAGCGCCGGCUAAUUACGU